AUGGGAGGAAGUGAAUUUCCAGGGACACAGCGCAAGGCUGCAAGGCACACACGGAGGCCGGAGGCCGCGGCCCAGCUCAGCCCCCACCCUUGUGCUGUGGGGUCACGGGAGAGGCAGAGUGCUUUUCUGGGGCGGGGGGACCUGUCAUUUCAGCGCAUCAACCCACGGCGAGUUCCCAUCGCCCGCCCCCAGGUUCCCUGGAGCGGCCCAGGCGACAGCUGUCAGUCUGUGCAGGCCGCAGGCUGGUGGGAUUCCUGCAACAGGGGUACAGAGAGAGCGGGGCAAGGCCCCAGGAGUGCCCAUCCACGUCCCCUCACUGUCCGGGGGCUUCCCCUCUGCUCACUACACCCCCACCCCCGGGGUGCCCGGGGCCUCGCCCUCCCCAGCCCUGCCCAGGUGUGCGGGGCCUCGUUCUCCUCAGCCCUGCCCGCGGUGCCCGGGGCCCUCUCGCUCUCCUCAGCCCUGCCCGCCGGUGUGCGAGGCUGGGUCUCUCCUCGCUCGUGCCCCAGGAGUGCAGGGCCUCGCUCUCCUCAGCCCUGCGCAAGAUGUGCGGGGCCUCUCCCUCCUCAGCCCUGCCCGCGGUGCCCGGGGCCCUCUCGCUCUCCUCAGCCCUGCCCGCGGUGCCCGGGGCCUCUCCCUCCUCAGCCCUGCCCGCGGUGUGCGGGGCUGGGUCUCUCCUCUCUCGUGCCCGCGGUGUGCGGGGUCUCGCUCUCCUCAGCCCUGCCCGCGGUGUGCGGGGCUGGGUCUCUCCUCGCUCGUGCCCGCGGUGUGCGGGGCUGGGUCUCUCCUCAGCCCUGCCCGCGGUGCCCGGGGCCUCUCCCUCCUCAGCCCUGCCCGCGGUGCCCGGGGCCUCUCCCUCCUCAGCCCUGCCCGCGGUGCCCGGGGCCCUCUCGCUCUCCUCGCCUCCGCCCCAGCCGUGCGGCACCGGCGCGGGGACAGCCGCCGCAGCCUGCCCACCCCGGGGAGACGUCCUCCUCAGGGGCGCGAGCCCAGACGGCUCCCAGGGCUGACCAAGGGCAGGGGCAGGGGGAGGAGCCCGCUCGGCUCGCCCAGGCCCGGCGGCCGCAGCGGCCGGCGACCAGCGAGCAGUGCACGCCGGGACGGGUUGUCAGCCGCCCGCCAGUCCGCCGCGCCGGAGCGGCCGCCCCGCCUCGGUCCGCCCCGCCUCGGACCACGUCGCCCUUUCCCCGAA
rnacentral:lncRNA from 1 species